GAUGAACGCUGGCGGCGUGCUUAAUACAUGCAAGUCGAGCGAACGGACGAGAAGCUUGCUUCUCUGAUGUUAGCGGCAGACGGGUGAGUAACACGUGUAUCACCUACCUAUAAGACUGGGAUCACUUCGGGAAACCGGAGCUAAUCCCGUAUGAUCUUUUGAACCGCGUUGUUCAAAAGUAAAAGACGGUCUUUCUGUCACUUAUAGAUGGAUCCGCGCUGCAUUAGCUAGUUGGUAAGGUAAAGGCUUACCAAGGGAACUAUGCAUAACCGACCUGAGAGAGGGAUCGGCGACACUAGAACGUAGACACGGUCAAGACUCCUACGGGAGGGAGCAGUAGGGUAUCUUCCGCAGUGGGCGAAAGCAUGACGGAGCAACGCCGCGUGAGUGAUGAAGGUCUUCGGAGCGGAAAACUCGGUUAUUAGUUAAGAACAGAUGUGUAAGGAACUGAGGACAUCGUGACGGUAACUAAUAAGAAAGCCACGGCUAACUACGUG
rnacentral:rRNA from 1 species